rnacentral:rRNA from 1 species
GACGAACCGUCCUAACGUUGUUCGGAAUCACUGGGCUUAAAGGGCGCGUAGGCGGGUUCCCAAGUCGGUGGUGAAAUCUUUCGGCCCAACCGGAAAACAGCCGCCGAUACUGGGAGUCUUGAGGGAGGUAGGGGUCGAUGGAACUUCCGGUGGAGCGGUGAAAUGCGUAGAUAUCGGAAGGAACGCCGGUGGCGAAAGCGAUCGACUGGACCUUUUCUGACGCUGAGGCGCGAAAGCGUGGGGAGCGAACAGG